UCCGAAGGGGGCUAGCGUUGUUCGGAAUUACUGGGCGUAAAGCGCGCGCAGGCGGUCUUCCAAGUCAGUGGUGAAAGCCCGGAGCUCAACUCCGGAACUGCCAUUGAAACUGUUGGACUUGAGUACGAGAGAGGUGAGUGGAAUUCCCAGUGUAGAGGUGAAAUUCGUAGAUAUUGGGAAGAACACCGGUGGCGAAGGCGGCUCACUGGCUCGUAACUGACGCUCAGGCGCGACAGCGUGGGGAUCAAACAGG
rnacentral:rRNA from 1 species